ensembl:lncRNA
UGUCAGUGCAAAGGAUCUCAGAGUAUGAAGUCACAUGAAGCCGAUGUCUACGAGGAAAUGGGUAGGGCAACACCUCCCAGUCAAACACAAGCACCUGCCCAUCAGAGGGAAAUAACAGAAGCUUCCCAACAAAGUAAACUUCACCUGGGGAACCCCUAUGAAUUUCAAGAGGUGCUCUCAUCAACAUCAUAAACUAGAGUGUCCAAAAACACUAAACUCCAGAUUGAGGACACUUGCGAUGAAAGGAAAUUCUAACACAUAUCAGAAAUUUUACCGUCGUUGGGACAAGGUCGGUGAAUACUCACUUCUCACCAAUUGUGUCAUGUGUUAAUAUGUCAUUUUUUUUUACAUGCUGCAUCGUACUGUUUUCUAAAUGUGUUUAUUUGCUGUGGUUUACUGUAGCUACCACUGUUUCACUUACUAUCCCAGAUUUGUUUGUGUGAGCAUUGUGUUGCAGUUUGCAUUAAAGUCAUUUUAAAGCAAAUGCAGUCUCAGUUUUUUUUUUUUACUAUGUUGCAGGUUUAAAUGUUGUUUAUUCCUUUGAUCACACAUUUGUUCUGAGACUCCAAAGCCUGAUUUCUUUUUUUAAUAGCAGUUGGGCUAAAUCAGGUGGCGGUGGGCUUUUUUCUUUUGUUUUAUCACUUAAAAAAUACAUUGCUAUGAACAUUUGUCUCUGUAUGGUGCUAUUAAGUUACGUAGCAGUCAUCAGUUAGUGAGUGUCAUUUAAUUGUAGGUUUACUGGCUUUAGCUACUGGCACCAGCUAAACUAACUGUGUGUGUACAGACAGCCCUAUAAAGACACAGUCAGUGGUUUCCUCAGAUCAGGAGAAGUGAAGUGAGGCUGUAGUGCCCAGAAUGUGUUUGUUUCCAGUUACAAUGAGUUAUUUUGGUCUAAGUUUCACUUCAUGUACAACGCUCACCUCUGGGAGGUGAGUCUGUCUAACCCAUCACACUCCGUGAAGUCGUACAUAAAUUAAAUGUUCUGAAGGAUUUUACAUCACUUUGACUUUCAGUCAAGAACUGAACCAAAUUAUUAACUAAGAAAAGAAUAUUCAAUUCAAGUUUAUUUAUAUGGUGUCAAACCACAACAACAGUUAUCUCAAAGUGUUUUAUAAUGCAAGGCAAAGACGGGCUGGUUCUUGUAUAGUGCCUUAAACAACAACAGCCUCAUUCACUUAUUCAUAC